CAAAUGAAUUGACGGGGCCGCACAAGCAGCGGAGCAUGUGGUUUAAUUCGACGCAACGCGAAGAACCUUACCAGGGCUUGACAUCCCCUGACCGCGUAUGAAAGUACGUUUUCACCCUCGGGUGACAGGGAGACAGGUGGUGCAUGGUUGUCGUCAGCUCGUGUCGUGAGAUGUUGGGUUAAGUCCCGCAACGAGCGCAACCCCUACGUUUAGUUGCUAACAGGUGAAGCUGAGCACUCUAGACGAACUGCCGUUGACAAAACGGAGGAAGGUGGGGAUGACGUCAAAUCAUCAUGCCCCUUAUGUUCUGGGCUACACACGUGCUACAAUGGCCGGUACAGACGGAGGCGAAGCCGCGAGGCGGAGCAAAACCGAAAAAGCCGGUCUCAGUUCGGAUCGCAGGCUGCAAUUCGCCUGCAUGAAGUCGGAAUCGCUAGUAAUCGCAGGUCAGCAUACUGCGGUGAAUACGUUCCCGGGCCUU
rnacentral:rRNA from 1 species